rnacentral:rRNA from 1 species
AACCCAGUGUGAUUCGUCACACUAUCAUUAACUGAAUCCAUAGGUUAAUGAGGCGAACCGGGGGAACUGAAACAUCUAAGUACCCCGAGGAAAAGAAAUCAACCGAGAUUCCCCCAGUAGCGGCGAGCGAACGGGGAGGAGCCCAGAGCCUGAAUCAGCAUGUGUGUUAGUGGAAGCGUCUGGAAAGGCGCGCGAUACAGGGUGACAGCCCCGUACACAAAAGCGCAUGUGCUGUGAGCUCGAUGAGUAGGGCGGGACACGUGGUAUCCUGUCUGAAUAUGGGGGGACCAUCCUCCAAGGCUAAAUACUCCUGACUGACCGAUAGUGAACCAGUACCGUGAGGGAAAGGCGAAAAGAACCCCGGCGAGGGGAGUGAAAAAGAACCUGAAACCGUGUACGUACAAGCAGUGGGAGCACCCUUCGGGGUGUGACUGCGUACCUUUUGUAUAAUGGGUCAGCGACUUAUAUUCUGUAGCAAGGUUAACCGUAUAGGGGAGCCGGAGGGAAACCGAGUCUUAAUUGGGCGUUAAGUUGCAGGGUAUAGACCCGAAACCCGGUGAUCUAGCCAUGGGCAGGUUGAAGGUUGGGUAACACUAACUGGAGGACCGAACCGACUAAUGUUGAAAAAUUAGCGGAUGACCUGUGGCUGGGGGUGAAAGGCCAAUCAAACCGGGAGAUAGCUGGUUCUCCCCGAAAGCUAUUUAGGUAGCGCCUCGUGAAUUCAUCUCCGGGGGUAGAGCACUGUUUCGGCUAGGGGGCCAUCCCGGCUUACCAACCCGAUGCAAACUGCGAAUACCGGAGAAUGUUAUCACGGGAGACACACGGCGGGUGCUAACGUCCGUCGUGAAGAGGGAAACAACCCAGACCGCCAGCUAAGGUCCCAAAGUCAUGGUUAAGUGGGAAACGAUGUGGGAAGGCCCAGACAGCCAGGAUGUUGGCUUAGAAGCAGCCAUCAUUUAAAGAAAGCGUAAUAGCUCACUGGUCGAGUCGGCCUGCGCGGAAGAUGUAACGGGGCUAAACCAUGCACCGAAGCUGCGGCAGCGAACGUAUCACCCAAGACAACUUUACGGAGUUGACGAUUGACGGAGCGAAGCGACGUCAAAGCGUUCAUUAAAGUCGAGUUGGCUUAGGGAUACGUUCGUUGGGUAGGGGAGCGUUCUGUAAGCCUGUGAAGGUGUGUCGUGAGGCAUGCUGGAGGUAUCAGAAGUGCGAAUGCUGACAUAAGUAACGAUAAAGCGGGUGAAAAGCCCGCUCGCCGGAAGACCAAGGGUUCCUGUCCAACGUUAAUCGGGGCAGGGUGAGUCGACCCCUAAGGCGAGGCCGAAAGGCGUAGUCGAUGGGAAACGGGUUAAUAUUCCCGUACUUGGUGUUACUGCGAAGGGGGGACGGAGAAGGCUAUGUUGGCCGGGCGACGGUUGUCCCGGUUUAAGCGUGUAGGUGUGUGUUCCAGGUAAAUCCGGUUCACUUUAACACUGAGGCGUGACGACGAGGCACUACGGUGCUGAAGCAACAAAUGCCCUGCUUCCAGGAAAAGCCUCUAAGCAUCAGGUAACACGAAAUCGUACCCCAAACCGACACAGGUGGUCAGGUAGAGAAUACCAAGGCGCUUGAGAGAACUCGGGUGAAGGAACUAGGCAAAAUGGUGCCGUAACUUCGGGAGAAGGCACGCUGACACGUAGGUGAAGUGAUUUACUCAUGGAGCUGAAGUCAGUCGAAGAUACCAGCUGGCUGCAACUGUUUAUUAAAAACACAGCACUGUGCAAACACGAAAGUGGACGUAUACGGUGUGACGCCUGCCCGGUGCCGGAAGGUUAAUUGAUGGGGUCAGCGCAAGCGAAGCUCCUGAUCGAAGCCCCGGUAAACGGCGGCCGUAACUAUAACGGUCCUAAGGUAGCGAAAUUCCUUGUCGGGUAAGUUCCGACCUGCACGAAUGGCGUAAUGAUGGCCAGGCUGUCUCCACCCGAGACUCAGUGAAAUUGAACUCGCUGUGAAGAUGCAGUGUACCCGCGGCAAGACGGAAAGACCCCGUGAACCUUUACUAUAGCUUGACACUGAACAUUGAGCCUUGAUGUGUAGGAUAGGUGGGAGGCUUUGAAGUGUGGACGCCAGUCUGCAUGGAGCCGACCUUGAAAUACCACCCUUUAAUGUUUGAUGUUCUAACGUGGACCCGUAAUCCGGGUUGCGGACAGUGUCUGGUGGGUAGUUUGACUGGGGCGGUCUCCUCCUAAAGAGUAACGGAGGAGCACGAAGGUUGGCUAAUCCUGGUCGGACAUCAGGAGGUUAGUGCAAUGGCAUAAGCCAGCUUGACUGCGAGCGUGACGGCGCGAGCAGGUGCGAAAGCAGGUCAUAGUGAUCCGGUGGUUCUGAAUGGAAGGGCCAUCGCUCAACGGAUAAAAGGUACUCCGGGGAUAACAGGCUGAUACCGCCCAAGAGUUCAUAUCGACGGCGGUGUUUGGCACCUCGAUGUCGGCUCAUCACAUCCUGGGGCUGAAGUAGGUCCCAAGGGUAUGGCUGUUCGCCAUUUAAAGUGGUACGCGAGCUGGGUUUAGAACGUCGUGAGACAGUUCGGUCCCUAUCUGCCGUGGGCGCUGGAGAACUGAGGGGGGCUGCUCCUAGUACGAGAGGACCGGAGUGGACGCAUCACUGGUGUUCGGGUUGUCAUGCCAAUGGCACUGCCCGGUAGCUAAAUGCGGAAGAGAUAAGUGCUGAAAGCAUCUAAGCACGAAACUUGCCCCGA